CACGUAGGCACCAAGCGUUGUCCGGAUUUAUUGGGCGUAAAGAGCUCGUAGGCGGUUCGGUAAGUCGGGUGUGAAAACUCUGGGCUCAACCCAGAGCCGCCACCCGAUACUGCUGUGACUUGAGUUCGGUAGGGGAGCGGGGAAUUCCUGGUGUAGCGGUGAGAUGCGCAGAUAUCAGGAGGAACACCGGUGGCGAAGGCGGCAUCCUGGACCAACACUGACGCUGAUGAGCGAAAGCCAGGGGAGCAAACGGG
rnacentral:rRNA from 1 species